rnacentral:ncRNA from 1 species
GGCUCGGGAGUGGACCUGUGGGAGGGUCCGCAUGAAUGGAGCCACACCCCCCGUUUCGCAAGCGGCGCGGCGCCUGAUGCCCGACAGCGCGCCCG